GGCUGAGAACGAGGCCAUGCCUACGGCACGGUCCCAGCCGCCCCCUUCUUCCCACCCGGUUUCCACCCUCCUGGGCGUUCCCUGGAGAAGCCUCGGGGACCGCAGCCCCGGCGGCUCAUUUUACAGAUCUGGAGACUGAGGUCUGGGCCGAGGAAGAAACUCGCCAAGGUCACCCAUCCUGGAAGCUCAGCUCUUUAUGUGUGAUGACAGAUCCUUCGACACUCAGGCCAAGCUUUCGAGGAAGGUGUUGGCAUGCCCAUUUGACAGAUGGAAAGAUGGAUAUACAGAGAAGACACUGCAUCACACUCAGCUGCAGAUUUGCAUAAUGCCCACAUCUUGCUCCUUCUUCCCUGCAACCCCAAAGAACAGGACGUGAUUUUUGACUUGGUGCCUCUCCGUCUCUGAGCAGCAGUCAUUAAAAUGGGACAACAAUUUUAAACCUGAGAUGAGCUGACAGCAUGAAACUUUAUUGGAAUAAGAAGGAUAUUGCCAUUGACAACAAGCCAAGGGAAACUGCAGGGCAAGGGGAUGUCCCCAGGGUCCUCCCUGUCCCCACAGAGCCCUGCCGUGCAAGGCUGGUCAGCCCCACCUAGAUCUCCGUGUGUCCCCCCAUCACACUUCCACCCACAUGGCAAGACACAGCACUGGCAGAUCCCUUGCCUUACUCCCCUUCUGCAGAUGGGGAAACUGAGGCCCCAGGAAGGGAAGUGACUUACUCAAAGGCUCCUUGCCAUUGGGUGGCAGCCUAGAGCCCGGACCCCUUGACUCCUGCCCUGGACUCCCCUUCCAAGUCCACAGGGAGACCCUCAGUCAGAGCAGCAGCCCACCUCACCUCGGGUGACCAGCGCCACGGGCUGUUUGUCCAUUUUAUACAUUCAUGUGUCUGUGUUUUCGCUUUCUCUUUAUAAAGGGCUCGGGA